rnacentral:pre_miRNA from 1 species
ACAGCAUUCGGACCGUUAGUCUACCGAACAAUUAUACCCGCUCGGUGGAAGAUCUUUCCCUCCGUCGU